UACGUAGGGUGCAAGCGUUGUCCGGAAUUAUUGGGCGUAAAGAGCUCGUAGGCGGUCUGUCGCGUCUGCUGUGAAAACUCGGGGCUUAACCCCGGGCUUGCAGUGGGUACGGGCAGACUAGAGUGCGGUAGGGGAGACUGGAAUUCCUGGUGUAGCGGUGAAAUGCGCAGAUAUCAGGAGGAACACCGGUGGCGAAGGCGGGUCUCUGGGCCGUAACUGACGCUGAGGAGCGAAAGCGUGGGGAGCGAACAGG
rnacentral:rRNA from 1 species